AUUAAAUGUGUUUAAUUUUUAAAAAAUUAGCAAAAACAUGCCACACAAUCUCUCUCCUCCCACUCAGCCCAUUAAGGUUUGGCCUCUGGGACUCCUGGGUAAAAGCUGUUUGCUCCUGGAGCCCUCCCCUCUCACUUCUGCCCAUGCUCUUCAUGUUCAAUAUAAAAUGUAAAGUAGCUAUAACUGGGAAUUUCUAACUUAACAUGAGCCUGUAUAGGAGCCUAUAUAGGACUUGAGUGUUUUGGGUACAGUUUUCUGCUGCAAUUCACCAAAUCUGACCUGGUAAAAGGCCCAAAUAAGAAAUCUGGACAUAUUUUUUAGAGCUACAUUUAAACACUUAAAAAAUAAAAGCAGUUGGUACUGUAGAAAUGACACAACACUUAAGAUCACUUACUGACUUUCCAGAGGACAGGUUCAGUUUGCUCCCCAAUGUGAACUUGCUAGCUAACAACCAUCUCCAGUCCCAGUGGGUCUGAGGCCCUCUUCUGGCCUCCAAGACCAUUGCACUCAUGUGGUGCAAUGUAUACAGGUGCUAGUAAAACACCCAUACACACCAUUUAAAAACAGAAAAAGCAAACAAACAAACAAAAAGGAACAAUGAAACUGCAGCUGUCAGAAAGUCACAUUCACUUGCCCUGUCUCUUCCUGCUUAGAAGCAGGAAACAACACCCCACUUUGAGGCUGCACAGGUUGCAUUCCACCUACGAAGGGUGAACAUUUACUACAGGUUCCAUGGAGUACACAUAAAAAACACUAUGACCUAAUCUGAAAUGAACCUUCCCAAGUGUCCAGUUAGGUCUGAUGUGGGUCUUAAUUUAUGAGGGCUCCUAAAUCAUGUGCUACUCAUUCAUGUAUGUCUUUCUCUUGAGAAUCAUUGUCACAGUGACCCCAACUGAAAAACUGGAAAAUUAGAUCAUAAUGGAUUCAUUCUUCUACCUCCCCUAUGUACUUUUUAUACAAGAAAAAUAUUUAAAAGCAUCUCAAAAUAUCUGGUACUCAUUCAUCCCCUGUCCCAAUGCAUGCUUGUUGUCAGAUUAGUAAAGUCUCUUCUGACUUUUCUUCCUGACAAAAUAGGAAGCUACUUCUUCCCCUGAAGAAAACCCCGCGUAGGUUUCAAUCUUAGAAGACACAUCACCUUAAGAUAAACUGGAUCUAUACCUCAUCGUUACUUGUAUAGUUCAACAAAGAAGAUAAAAGUUAACAUAAUUAAUAUAAAUAUAUAAAUAUAAAAAAUAAAUAGAUACAAAAAUUAUGUACGCAAUAACCAUCUGACUUGGGAAGACCAACUGUAUAUUGCUAUCUAUAAACCAUUUAGGGCCCUCAGUUAACAUCUUGCCAGAAAAAAAUAAAUGACUUAUGGAAUUCUGAUCGAAGACAGAAUACCCAGGCUUCUUGAUGAAAUCAGCUUUAAUGUGAAUACACAGUAUGUGAUGAACUGAUGUUCAUAAACAAAUAACAAGGAAUUUAGAAAAACAGAGCCUAUUAAAUGAUUUUUGGUUUGUGUGUUUCUCUCAUACAUGGGGACCUACAAUGUGAUUGGGAAUUGAAGAUUAUAAGACAAGGAUUGCAAGAAUGAGAGGGAGGGAGGAAGGAAAGGGCUCCAGGUGAGAUUAUUCAGUGUCCCACUUACAAAUGACUGAACCGGCCAGCCUAUGUAUGCAAAUUAACCAGUCCCUGUGGCUGUGUCCUGUUUUUUCUCCUAAGGCUAGGGACCUAUCCCAUAAUACAACAACAGUUCUUGGAAAAUAAAUAAGAAUACCAACUGAAUUACUUCAUUUAGAAUGUCAAAAUGAUUCUGCUGCAGUAAGAUAUCAAGGAAACCUCAACUAUGGUCCACAUUUUCAUGGUAAUCCUACAGACAUCCAGUUAAGCCAUAGCCAGACAAGCAGAAACUAGAAGACACUUCAACUGUUCAGUUUAAAGCUACUGAAUUUUUAAAAACCUGUUAUGCAAAAUAGAUAAUUAAGCGGACUAACACUAUCUAAAUAAAAUGUGAACAGAAACAAGUCAUAAAAUGAAGGAAAGGUUACAGGGGGGAAAUGAUCUAUUAUUAAGUAAAAAUACUUGUAUCACACUUCAGUAAUGUAUACUCACUUUGGGACUAACAUGAACAAGUGCUAGUGGUCAUUAGCAAGUUUUUAAACCUUUACAUCUCAACUAAAUUUACCAAUUUAAAGCUCAUAAAAGAUGUGCUUGAAGGAUAGACAGGUCACCCAGCAAUAUGUUAAGAUGCUUGGGAAGUAAAAUCGUCUUAUAUUCACUUUGAACCUGGUAAACUGAAAGGAAAGAACAAGAUUCUUCCCAUUACUGUGCACCGCAGAAAUAUGCAAACGAGAAGUCACCAAUCUGAACUCUGAUUGGACCAAAUUUCGAAACCCUGUGAAUUUGAAAGAAAUGACUAUUUUGCAAGGGAUACUAUAGGUUGCUUGACCACCCCUAGGUUAAUUUUGUACCCUGUAGAUUCUUUUUAUAGUUGCUAUUAACCGACCAUAUUGUAAUUUGAAAAUAAACUGUCAUUGUCCCGUUUGUGCCUGAAAAUAAGUAAAGUUCUAUAACAUGGGCAAGAACAAAGUAUUAUUUGUCUUGGAGCCUCAGGUCUCCUCAGAAACACAAGACCUUUGUGACCACACAAAGGACCUUCAGAAACGCGCCGCCAUCCUUUUCAAUGUUUUGGGUAGUUUCUCGCUCUGCUUAAACAAAAAACCAAGUGACCGCACUGAAGUCUCUACAGAGAAAUUUAAUUUACACUUUAAACACAAACUACACUUGUCAUUUCUGUGACACUAACGCGUGGAAAAUAAUAGGCGCGGAAAGGUUUCCGUAGGUGACCGUAGUUCCGGGAACCUGAGGUGGGAAUCAGCCUCGCUCCUGACAGGUUAUCGGCGCCAGAUGAACUGAAUUAGCAAUUCCCAGAUAUGAGAAAUACAUAUAUAUAUGAGAAAUAACUAUCAGGAAAAUGGCCAAGACAGGGAAAUGGUUUAACUAAAAUUGUGGAGCACUUUGUUCUGGAAACAUGCUUUGUGUAUAGUAAGUCCGGCUCAUAACCGGAAGACGACACAAGAAACGCUCGUCCUUAAAAUGUCUCCGGGCUUAAGUGUGUCACAGCCUUUUAGAGACUGAUUUAAGGGAGCGGAAUUACCACAGGUUAUUUACCAAUCAAAAGUUGCACUACAAGAGUCAGCCAAUCCUAAAUCCCUAGAUGCACUUCCGCAAAUUCCGACGGAAGUCUGAGUUGAGCUGGCCAGGGUCCAAUCAGAGCGAAGUAUUUCCAGCAUAAAUAGCAGCGGCGCUAGAGCACAACACCGGAAUUUUUCUCUGCCGCAUUUGCUAUGGCCCGUACCAAGCAAACAGCUCGCAAGUCCACCGGCGGCAAGGCUCCGCGCAAGCAGCUGGCCACCAAGGCCGCCCGCAAGAGCGCCCCGGCCACCGGCGGCGUGAAGAAGCCCCACCGCUACCGUCCCGGCACCGUGGCUCUGCGCGAGAUCCGGCGCUACCAGAAGUCGACCGAGCUGCUGAUCCGCAAGCUGCCAUUCCAGCGCCUGGUGCGCGAGAUCGCGCAGGACUUCAAGACCGACCUUCGCUUCCAGAGCUCGGCAGUCAUGGCCCUUCAGGAGGCCAGCGAGGCCUACCUUGUGGGUCUGUUUGAGGACACCAACCUAUGCGCCAUCCACGCCAAGCGUGUGACCAUCAUGCCCAAGGACAUCCAGCUGGCUCGCCGUAUCCGCGGUGAAAGAGCUUAAGUAGCAUUCUUUCUAUAUUGGCACGUGAUCUGAACUAAAAAAGGCUCUUUUAAGAGCCGCUUCCACUGUCCACAAGAGAUGCUGUGGUGCUAGUUUGCAAGGUGUAUGGCGGGACCACCCUCUUUCAUUCAGCUCCCUUGUCUUUCUUGACCCGGAUUAGCAACAGCACUCAGACCAGCUUGAGCUACCAGGGUUUGGGGGCAAGGGCUUUCAUUGUGUUUUCCGUCUUAAUUUUCUUUCAGGUUUCAGGCCUUAAAGUGACCAGGAAACAUUUUAGUUACUCUGGUCACUAAACAUUUUGAUAGAAUGUAGCACAGUUUUCGAAGGCAACAAAGCUUUUACCUUUUGGUUACUUGUUCUGUUUUGAUUUUUUUCAAAGACUUUCUCCGUGUCUUCUAAUUAUACCAACACCUGGGUUACGGGCAGGCAAAUCUCUGAACUAACCAACCUGUUGUAGCAAGUUACAUUAAAAAUAAAUCCUAACAUUUAAAAAAAUCUUUGAAAAGACUUAGAAGGAAGCUCAAGAACUAUUUUUUAUAGUUUAACCUGGGAAAGAAUAGCAAGAAAACUAGUAAAUAUUGACUGGUAUCUAAAGAAGAAAGUGAUACUAGGAAGCAAAUAACCAUGCCCUUUCCCAGAAAGCAAGUUCAGCCAUUGCUGAACAGCUGUAAAGAAGGUGGAAGGAAUUCAGAGAAAACAGAAUCCUGGACUAUCAAAUUCAAACAGGUUUGGGAUUCUGGUCUGUGGCCAAUAAUGAUAGAGGGGGGGAAAAAAGCCAUGGUGGUACAUGAGUUUAAUCUACUCUUCUACUCCUCUGAGACUCCACCCCACCCCCUUGGCCAGCAGAGGGGCAGGCAUGGUCUAGAUAGAAAGUUCUGGUCAAGCCAGGAGUGCACAGUGUCUCUUGAGAAAAAAAAAGGCGGGGGAAACAGAGAGGAGAAAGAGAAAGGGGGUGAAAAUGUUUCCUCUUCGAGUUUAAACUUAGAAAAUACAGCAGUAAACAUCAUCCUAAAGAACCUACUGGAGCAUGUAAGUGGAUUAUCCCAUUAAGGCAAUAAUUUUUUUUCUCAGGUCUUUAAGACAUCUUUAGGAAAACGAACUUUUGGGGGGAAAGGGGAACUGGAGGAGUCUCCUAGCAAAAUAAUAAAUAAAAAAUAUUCUAAACUUUAGGCAAAAUAAGAAUGCCAUGUUUCUACCCAAGGCCAGAGUUAGAAACAUUAGAAUUCAUUCCUCUGGCAAAAGAGAGGUAGAUUUCUCCCAGUGAGAUUUAAAGAAACCCUGAUACCUCCCUCCCUUCCCCCUCCCAUCAUCAGGGACGAUGACUGACUUCAGUUGCUUCUAAACUUAAUACCAAUCUUGACAACCAAUAAAAAUAAUAGUUGAUGUUCAAAUGCUUUUAGAAUAAAGCAUGAAAUAAUUCAAUUAAAAUCACAGGUGAAUCUUGUAAUAUAUGUGUACCUUUUUAAAACCCAAAACAACCCAUAACAUAACAUUUUAAAAUGUCUUUUACUAUAACUAAGUUAUUUUUAUUCUUUAUUACUUUAUUUCCAACAUGUAAUAAUAUAAAAAUGAAUCUAAAAGUUCAGGCUUUCCAGCUAAAGAGAUGCCUCAUAGGUUAAGAACAUUGACUACUAUUACAGAGGUCAAGUUAAUUUCCCUGAAACCACAUAGUGGCUCACAACCAUCUUUAAUGGGAUCUGAUACCCUCUUCUGGUAUAAAGACAGUGUACUCAUAUGCAUAAAAUGAAUAAAUAAAUUUUCUAAAAAAAAAAAAAAACAUGUUCAGUCUUUCACAUUGCAGGCUGAAAUUUUCAUUUGAAAAAAAAAUGACAUCGUAAACACUUCCAAUUUUAUGUAUUUUCUCCCACAUUGAAAUUUAUGAAAACUAAUAACUAUAUCUAGGCUGCUCAUCAGCACAUACAUACAGGUAGUGCCUACACUCUGAUACUUCAUCUAAAAGAUGAAAAUCUAUGUAACAGAGUGAGAGAUACAGAACGUUGUGUAGUCGUUUCAGGAUUACAAGUAUAAAUUUUCUUUUAAAACCCUAAACUUAAUCAGAAGAUAUGGAAGGUAACAUGCCUAUAAUCCCAAAACUUUGGAAAUUGAGGAGAAAGAACCAGAAAUUGAAGAUUAUCCUUAGCUAUAUAUCAAGUUUGAGUCUAUCGUGAGUUAAGUAAGAAAGAUCUGUCUCAAAAUGAGACAUUUAAUCCCAAGACUGGUAAACAAAAAGCCAACACAGUCUAUAUCAGGAAGAUAUAUAGAUAUCUAUAGAUAGAUAGAUAGAUAGAUAGAUAGAUAGAUAGAUAGAUAGAGAUAGAGAUACAGAGAUAGAGAUCGAUAGAUACAUAGAUACAUAGAUAGAUAGAUAGAUAGAUAGAUAGAUAGAUAGAUAGAUCUCCCAGGAUAUGUAAUGAUAUCCUAUCUCAAAAUAAAAUAAUUGUAAGCUUCAACAUAAUAUAAUGAGCUAAGUUCAGAAGCAGCUUCAGAAAUGAGAGUUCUUACCUUCCACACUCUCCUUUUUACACCUCCUCCCAAAGGAAGGUUUAAAAACAAGAAUAUCCCUUCCUCAAUGUAAGAAAACCAGACCUAACUAUUUUUCCCAAAGUAAGCAAAAACUACUAAAACAUUCAUCUUCACCAACCUCUUUGUCUUGCAGCUAGCAGUAACAAUCAUGAUGAUGAUGAUGAGGAGGAGGAGGAGGAGGAUGGUGAUUUUUAAAAUGCUACAAACCUCCCUUAUCCAAAAGCAGAUCAAGAUGAAGCAUUACCACUUAGAGAGUUGUGUCCAUACCCGAAAAAAGAAUGUAACACAGGGCAAAGAAGUACUGGAAACAAAUCUGGCUAGAUUUCUGCAUACAUUAUACCAGAAGUAAAUUAUAUACACUCCCUACAGUCAUAAUUCUACACAUUGGUAUGUUUUAGGCAGCUGUGUCUCGCACAUGCAGAAAAUUAAAACAGUGUCUUUUUGUUGUUUUCUUUUUUUCUAGAAAUUGAAACUUGAACCUGUGUCUGUAAUGUCAAGGUGAUAUGAAAAGACAGCAGAAGGAUUCAAAAAUGUCAAGGCCUGAAGCAUUCUACCAGAGCCAGUCAUGUGACAACACCUAGACUACAGGCAACUAAGCAAACAAAUCAUGGGCAGAUCAUGUAUGAAUAUUCCUUCCCACAAAGUGAAGUUUUACUGUGAAUAAAGAAUAUGCAGUUCCCCUGUAAUCAUGACCCUAUCAGUGUUUUAUUACUGAAGAAUAAAAUGUUUAAAUUACCCAUGG